AAAAAAAAACACUAUUAAAUUUUGUAUAUUUUAUCGAAUGAUUUAUUGGUCUAUUUUACUAGUUUUGAUUGUCAUAUGCAUCCCAGUGUCCUUUGUGAACACUUAGAACGCCAAUCGAUGUCCAGUGGUGAACUUAUGCAAUGAUUUAUAAUUCAUGUAUUUUAUGUAGAAGAAAUGUGGGGUGUUCUUUAAUAAGACAGUAACCAACGGCCAAUACAUAUUAUGACCCUGACACAUUAAACAUGCGCUUAAUUAUGUUGUUGAAGGCCGCAUGAAUUUUGGGGUUGCUAAUUGAUUUAUCAUUUUCAGGAAAUGACAGCGGCAGUUGUAUACUUUCAUUCAAUUUCUUUUGUUCACUUCUAUGCUUGGUU
rnacentral:lncRNA from 1 species